rnacentral:tmRNA from 2 species
GGGGGUGAUCGGCUUUGACAAUGAAAUACUCUUUAAAAUGUGCAAAGUAGAGUUUCUGUAACUCUUAAAAAAGCAGAAAAAUUUUAAGUGCAAACUUAAAAUCUAAGCUAGGGAGUUUCUCCUUGGCUCCAGCUUUCGCUCUAGCUUAAGUUGGCGUCUCUUCUAGUGAAUUCUGGUAGCUGGAUUGAGGUGUUAUAUCACCAGAAUGGAAUGUAAGAUCUCCGCCGAUUGCAUUCGAGACAAAGGUGGAUAGAGGGAAUUAGGUUUUGUCUACUUAUACUAAUUCUUUUGAACAAAUAAAGUAGACUAGACUUUGUAGAUCAGUUUAAGGAACUUCAAUGGACUGCGGUUCGAUUCCGCACACUUCCAAUU